AUGUUCAAAAAGCAUACCGACAAGUCAAGCAUUUCAGAAAAAUGUUUAUAAAUGUAUGAAAAAGUUGUUUGUGUGGUGCUGAACUUGGAUAUAUAUUACUGCAUAUCAAUGUGAAAACAUUGUGUCAGCUUCAAAGCAUUGUGCAUAUGGAAGACAUUAUUGCUAUUGUUAAUACUGUAAUAGAAUUGCCUCUGCGGAUUAAAAAUGUAGAUGUUUAUGUACAAAAUAGCAGCAAUAAGUAAAAGAAGAAAUUAUUUAUAUGGAUUCUAUU
rnacentral:lncRNA from 10 species